UACGUAGGUGGCAAGCGUUGUCCGGAUUUACUGGGCGUAAAGCGUGUGUAGGCGGACCUCUAAGUAGGAAGUGAAAGGUUGGAGCUCAACUCCAACACUGCUUCCUAUACUGGAGGUCUUGAGUGCCGGAGAGGAAGAUGGAACUGCACGUGUAGCGGUGAAAUGCGUUGAUAUGUGCAGGAACACCAAUGGCGAAGGCAAUCUUCUGGACGGAAACUGACGCUGAGACACGAAAGCCAAGGUAGCAAAC
rnacentral:rRNA from 1 species